CUGGCUCAGGAUGAACGCUAGCUACAGGCUUAACACAUGCAAGUCGAGGGGAAACGACAUCGAAAGCUUGCUUUUGAUGGGCGUCGACCGGCGCACGGGUGAGUAACGCGUAUCCAACCUGCCCAUCACUUGGGAAUAACCUUGCGAAAGUAAGACUAAUACCCAAUGAUAUCCCACGAAGGCAUCCGAAUGGGAUUAAAGAUUUAUCGGUGAUGGAUGGGGAUGCGUCUGAUUAGCUUGUUGGCGGGGUAACGGCCCACCAAGGCGACGAUCAGUAGGGGUUCUGAGAGGAAGGUCCCCCACAUUGGAACUGAGACACGGUCCAAACUCCUACGGGAGGCAGCAGUGAGGAAUAUUGGUCAAUGGGCGAGAGCCUGAACCAGCCAAGUAGCGUGCAGGAUGACGGCCCUAUGGGUUGUAAACUGCUUUUAUAAGGGAAUAAAGUGAGUCUCGUGAGACUUUUUGCAUGUACCUUAUGAAUAAGGACCGGCUAAUUCCGUGCCAGCAGCCGCGGUAAUACGGAAGGUCCGGGCGUUAUCCGGAUUUAUUGGGUUUAAAGGGAGCGUAGGCCGGAGAUUAAGCGUGUUGUGAAAUGUAGAUGCUCAACAUCUGCACUGCAGCGCGAACUGGUUUCCUUGAGUACGCACAAAGUGGGCGGAAUUCGUGGUGUAGCGGUGAAAUGCUUAGAUAUCACGAAGAACUCCGAUUGCGAAGGCAGCUCACUGGAGCGCAACUGACGCUGAAGCUCGAAAGUGCGGGUAUCGAACAGGAUUAGAUACCCUGGUAGUCCGCACGGUAAACGAUGGAUGCCCGCUGUUGGUCUGAAUAGGUCAGCGGCCAAGCGAAAGCAUUA
rnacentral:rRNA from 1 species